GUCUACGGCCAUACCACCCUGAACGCGCCCGAUCUCGUCUGAUCUCGGAAGCUAAGCAGGGUCGGGCCUGGUUAGUACUUGGAUGGGAGAAGUAAAAGAAGCUAUUCCAGAGGGUAUUUCUAUGUCCUUAGAGA
rnacentral:rRNA from 1 species